CACAGGAGUUACCUGCCUGUUUGAAGGGCAGCCAGACCACUUGGUGCCCUCAUCUUCACAGUUUAUCGAAAGUGACCUCUUCCUAGUAGCAGGACGAAUGCUCGGCCAUUCCUUCCUCCAUGGCAGACCGGGUCUUGCAGGGCUCAGCAGAGCUUUUGUCCUUGUGCUGCUUCUUGGUUCACAUGAUACAGCCACUUAACUGUUGGAGGACUGCCCUGAUAUUGAUGUGCAAGAGACCAUCAACCUGCUUAAUGUACAGUAUCCAUUGGAUGAGGACCAACAUGAGAAAGUUUUGGAGCUUUGCUGGUCUUGGGAUCUCCCAGGUCCAACCGAAGAAAACAGAAGGUGGCUCUACGAACGUCUGCUUUCACAUGCGGUUCUUGGGAGAAGAACACGCCAAAUGAAACAACUCAGACGAGGACUUAAAGAUACAAUGGUUUGGUCACUUCUGACUGAGAGGAAGGAUGUGGUGUUUUUUUCCAAUGGAAUCCAAAGACUUUUGCUCCUCUGAGAUGCUGCAUUCUCGAAUAUUCUGGCCUGCUGCUGCUGAUGAUGAAUACCCAGCUGAAACAAACCAAUGCAUCACUGGGUACUUGAGGCAGUACAUUUAGAUGGGAUCUAGCAAGGACCUGAAGGACCUGCUCAAGUUCUGGGUUGGAUGGGAAGUUCCUAAAGAAAGUCUGGCUGUGGAAGUUAUUAGU